rnacentral:ribozyme from 12 species
UUCAUUCUUUUUCUUUUCUUUUUUUUUGGGAUUUUCUCACAUUUUUUUCUUUUUUUUUUCUUCUUUUAUUGUGCGAAUUAAUAACUAAAAGAACAAGAGAAAAAGAAAAAGACG